rnacentral:rRNA from 1 species
UAGUGGCAAACGGGUGAGUAACACGUAAGUAACCUGCCCUUGAGUAGGGGAUAACCCCGGGAAACCGGAGCUAAUACCGUAUACGAUGGUGAGAGUAAUGUUUCAUCAUCAAAGCCUUAGGGCGCUUAAGGAGGGGCUUGCGUCCGAUUAGCUUGUUGGCAGAGUAAUGGUCUACCAAGGCUACGAUCGGUAGCUGGUCUGAGAGGACGGUCAGCCACACUGGGACUGAGACACGGCCCAG